rnacentral:rRNA from 1 species
UGCAAGUCGAACGAUGAAGCCCAGCUUGCUGGGUGGAUUAGUGGCGAACGGGUGAGUAACACGUGAGUAACCUGCCCUUAACUCUGGGAUAAGCCUGGGAAACUGGGUCUAAUACCGGAUAGGAGCGUCCACCGCAUGGUGGGUGUUGGAAAGAUUUAUCGGUUUUGGAUGGACUCGCGGCCUAUCAGCUUGUUGGUGAGGUAAUGGCUCACCAAGGCGACGACGGGUAGCCGGCCUGAGAGGGUGACCGGCCACACUGGGACUGAGACACGGCCCAGACUCCUACGGGAGGCAGCAGUGGGGAAUAUUGCACAAUGGGCGCAAGCCUGAUGCAGCGACGCCGCGUGAGGGAUGACGGCCUUCGGGUUGUAAACCUCUUUCAGUAGGGAAGAAGCGAAAGUGACGGUACCUGCAGAAGAAGCACCGGCUAACUACGUGCCAGCAGCCGCGGUAAUACGUAGGGUGCGAGCGUUAUCCGGAAUUAUUGGGCGUAAAGAGCUCGUAGGCGGUUUGUCGCGUCUGUCGUGAAAGUCCGGGGCUUAACCCCGGAUCUGCGGUGGGUACGGGCAGACUAGAGUGCAGUAGGGGAGACUGGAAUUCCUGGUGUAGCGGUGGAAUGCGCAGAUAUCAGGAGGAACACCGAUGGCGAAGGCAGGUCUCUGGGCUGUAACUGACGCUGAGGAGCGAAAGCAUGGGGAGCGAACAGGAUUAGAUACCCUGGUAGUCCAUGCCGUAAACGUUGGGCACUAGGUGUGGGGACCAUUCCACGGUUUCCGCGCCGCAGCUAACGCAUUAAGUGCCCCGCCUGGGGAGUACGGCCGCAAGGCUAAAACUCAAAGGAAUUGACGGGGGCCCGCACAAGCGGCGGAGCAUGCGGAUUAAUUCGAUGCAACGCGAAGAACCUUACCAAGGCUUGACAUGUUCUCGAUCGCCGUAGAGAUACGGUUUCCCCUUUGGGGCGGGUUCACAGGUGGUGCAUGGUUGUCGUCAGCUCGUGUCCUGAGAUGUUGGGUUAAGUCCCGCAACGAGCGCAACCCUCGUUCCAU